CUUGGUGGUGCGGAGGAGCUGACGUCAUCACGUCGUGUUGCGCUCACCAGCUGAACGCGGCGUCGCGGCGGUCCAGUUUGACGGCGAUGAGCGGAGAGAGGAAGACCCCUCCACGGUGUCUCUAGGAGCGGGCUGCUGCUGUUGGUGUGUCCCCGUCGAUUCCACGAAACCAGCAACACAUUCAAGGAAGCGUUUCGUUGUGGGAUAAAUGAAUUCAACAGCCACCACGUCGUAGAAAACGUAAGCACCAGACCUCCAUCAGCGCCACACUCCCACUGAGCAACACACCCACUCAGACGAGCAGUAUGCACCCAACUCUCUGCUCCUCUCUCCUGCUUGUCUCAAUGCAAGCCCGGCCUCUCUGUGGGUAAGCCACAAUUCUCUCAGGUAAACUCUCUUUCUCGGUUGCUCUCUCUAUGUCUCUGUCUCUCUUUUCUCUGUCUCUGUCUCUCUGUCUCUCUGUCUCUGUCUCUCUCAAUCUGCAUCUCUAUCUUCAGUGUAGUUUCUCAAUGCUGAUCAUUCCCGUGUGUUUCUCUGGUGUUUUCCAUCUUGGCCAUGUGUCUCAGCUUUCAAAUAGUCACACAAGGAAUGAAUGGGCGGGUUUCACUGAGUUUAUUCAUGUUGAGUUACUAUGUGUUGCGUUAUGUUGGCUAUUUAAAACGCUGAAUGGUUUUGUUAUGGUAAUUGACUAUCACUGCUUUCUCUGACUCUUGAGUUAUUUUUUAUGGCUCCUCUUUUGCACCUCAAUGAGUUUGCUGUUAGUAAGGAGGCGUGUUUAGUGUUUAGUGUUAAGUACAUUGUUAGUUAAGAGACGUGUUUAGUGUUUUGAGAUUAGUGUUAAGUACGCUGUUAGAAAGAAGGCGUAUUCAGUGUUUAGUGUCAAGUACCCUGUUAGUUAGGAGAUGUGUUAAGUACAUCGUUAGUUAAGAGACGUGUUUAGUGUUUUGUGAUUAGUGUUAAGUACGCUGCGUAUUCAGUGUCUAGUGUUAAGUACGCUGUUAGUUAGAAGAUGUGUUGAGUGACAAGUGUUAAGUAUGCUGUUGGUUUGGAGACGUGUUAAGUACGCUGCAAGUCAGAAGUGUUUUGUGUGCCUACUAGUUAGACGAUGUGUUUCAUGUGCUUAGUUAAGGGGUGUGUUUAGUGUGGUGUUAGUUAAAUGUGUUUAGUGUGCUAAAUUAAGGAUGUGCUUAGUCAGGACGUGUGUUUAGUUAGAUUAGUAAAGAUGUGUGUUCAGUUCGGACAUAUGUUUCGCGUGCUUAGUCCGGAUGAGUGUUUAGUAUGCUGUGAGUUAGCAUGUUUGUUUGAGCGUAAAUACAACUGAAACAACAUCAAUUAAGUGAGGAUACCAAGGGAACAGUCAGGUCUUUGUAAAAAAGAGCCCCAGUUAUGUUUGUUGACCAGAGAUGAUUGACAUCUGCGGCCCAGUAAAAAGAAGUACAUCCAAAAAAGGAAAAUUGGCACCUGUAAUAGCGUUCUGUUCAGCCUCAUGAACAGAACGUUAAUUAAGUUACCAAAAGUACUGAUUUUAUUUUCCGCCCCGUGUCACUACAUUUAGCCCCGGCCUCCUCUGGCUGCCCACUGGGCCUCCUUGGCUUUGAUUUGGAGGCUGUAUUGACCUGCAGUGCAAUGGCUAGUGUUUAAUCAAAGUGAUGCUUUGCUCACUGCCAGAGAGAGAGAGAGAGAGAGAGAGAGAGAGAGAGAGAGAGAGAGAGAGAGAGAGAGAGAGAGAGAGAGAGAGAGAGAGAGAG
ensembl:lncRNA